rnacentral:lncRNA from 1 species
CCAAAGCCACGGCAAUGCCAGAUCCGAGCUGUGUCUGUGACUUACACCACAGCUCAUGGCAAGAAGAUCAAAUCUUUAAUCCCAAGAAACCCCUCCUCGUUCUUCAGCCUCAGCUGGGCUUGGGCAGCCCAGCUGAGUUUCCCCCUGCCAGCACAGCCCUCCCCCGCCACCCUAGCCUCACGCUACUCUGCUCGGGGCCACCCUGCUUCUGUACCUGGCCAGGACUGGUGCUUUCUUCAAUCAGAGCCACUGAAAAGUGAGUUUCUCCAGAACGGGCUGGGUGUCACUCAGCUUUGUUUCCCUGGUGUCGAGAAGGCACCCAGGAAAUUGCUACUGAGUGAGGGGUCUGUGUUCCUUCCCCACGCGAGGCCCUUUAUCCAGGAGAACAAAUUUCGGAUGCUGCAAACCUACCGCUUGACGGAGACCCGGUGACUCAGGGGAUAGCUGUGGGCAUGGGGGCUUUCCAGCAACCUAGUUAGAUGAAACCACACAGCAACCUUCCUGCCCCACGGGGUGGCCUAUUUCUCAAUUCCUGUAGUCUCAGCAGCCCUCACUGCAGAAUUCUGAUGAGGCCAGGCCAUUUCGCGGCUGGUCUUUGAUGAGAAAAGGGAAUUGAGAUGUAGGUGACUGAUUUGGACCUUGAGAAGCUGAUGGGAUGUCACCCUGCUCUUUCUGACAGUGGGAAUGAGUCUGUGGAGAGGGGGCUUCCUGUGACCCCUGCCGGGCCUCCCGGAAGCUCGGCUCGGUCCCCGAGAAAUGAGAUGGGAAGGCAUCGCUGACACUCGGGCUGCAGUGAACUUCGAACUCCAUCCGCCUUGCCUGAUCGAGCUCGUCUAGGCGGCUUCGGGCUGGUGGCCACAGCUCCUCUGGGCUGAUGGGCAGAUGCUCCUUCCUCCUGCGUGGGGCAGGACCCAGGGGGCAGGCGGAAACCACCGCGUCUCUGAAAAAAAAGAAGACAGUGCCCAGAUGCAACUCAGACAAGAGAGGGCGAAGGAACUGAGUCAGUGCACUGUCAGACAGCCCCUUGGGAGGCUGGUCUGCGCUCCAGCGAUGCUUCAUGGGAAGGUGGAUGACACGACGGAAGUGUGUGUAGAAGAUGCAGGUUCUGUCAUAUGGUUGAGCCUGCGCUACCCCGUGAAUCCCUGA